GGGCGAUUAGCUCAGUUGGCUAGAGCGCAUCGUUUACAUCGAUGAUGUCGCGGGUUCGAGUCCCUCAUCGCCCA
rnacentral:tRNA from 1 species